UACUGCUCAGUAACACGUGGAUAACCUGCCCUUGGGUCCGGGAUAACCCCGGGAAACUGGGACUAAUACCGGAUAGAUCAAAGAAACUGGAAUGUUCUUUGGUCCAAAACUCUGGUGCCCAAGGAUGGGUCUGCGGCCUAUCAGGUAGUAGUGGGUGUAACGUACCUACUAGCCUACGACGGGUAAGGGUUGUGAGAGCAAAGUCCCUGAGAUGGAUUCUGAGACAUGAAUCCAGGCCCUACGGGGUGCAGCAGGCGCGAAAACUUUACACUGCGGGAAACCGCGAUAAGGGGACCCCGAGUGCCAGCACCUAGUGCUGGCUGUCCAGCUGUCCAAAUAACAGUUGUUAGCAAGGGCCGGGCAAGACCGGUGCCAGCCGCCGCGGUAACACCGGCGGCCCGAGUGGUAGCCGCUAUUAUUGGGUUUAAAGGGUCCGUAGCCGGCUUAUUAAGUCUCUUGGGAAAUCUGGCGGCUUAAUCGUCAGGCGUCCAAGAGAUACUGGUAGGCUUGGGACCGGGAGAGGUGGGAGGUACUCCAGGGGUAGGGGUGAAAUCUCGUAAUCCUUGGGGGACCACCGAUGGCGAAGGCAUCCCACCAGAACGGGUCCGACGGUGAGGGACGAAAGCUGGGGGCACGAACCGGAUUAGAUACCCGGGUAGUCCCAGCUGUAAACGAUGCUCGCUAGGUGUCAGGUGCGGUGCGACCGCAUCUGGUGCCGCAGUGAAAACUUUGAAGCGAGUCACCUGGGAAGUACGGUCGCAAGGCUGAAACUUUAAAGGAAUUUGGCGGGGGAGCACUACAACGGGUGGAGCCUGCGGUUCAAUUGGAUUCAACGCCGG
rnacentral:rRNA from 1 species